AGAAUUUUAAGUUAAAUAAACUAUGAGUUUUCAAAACUCAUUAUAUGUAAAAAAAUUACUUAGAUUCUG
rnacentral:tRNA from 1 species